UAGUGUUUUGCCCCUGUACAUCAUACUUUUCUGUUAGCAAUAGAGCAAUAUUCCUUUCGGGAAAAUAUUUGAACUGAAAUAUCAUGACUUACAGUUUGCAUCAGAAAUUUGUAUGUAGUUAAUAGGGACCUCCUGCCCUUAAGCUUUCCAUAUAUGAUCUUGACUUUCAUUUAUCUAAGUAUAUAUUACAGUAUAUUAAAUUAAAAACUUGAAAGUUAUGCAACUUGUUGCUGGAUUUUUUUCCAUAGCAGUUAUUGUUAAUUAGAUAGAAUGGAAAUUUUAAGUUAAAUUAUUUUUUGUUAGGAAAAGAAAAUUAGCACAACAGAAGAAAAAAGAGAAAAAACUAAUGAAAAUUGAAAACAAAAAAGAUGACUUUGAAGAAUUUAAAGAUGAAAUAAAAUUUGGAGAAGUUGUAAAAGAACCCCCAAAACUGACAUGUUUGAAACAAAUUACUAAAUUAAAAAGCAAACCCAGUUUACGUAAUUACAAAGUUAAUGUUUCUGUUCAUUGAUUUUAAAUGAAUAUAAGUUAUUUGUAUAAGAAGAAUAAAUUUUUUAAAUUU